UCCCCUUCCGCUUCCUCCUGCCUCCUGUCCCGCUGCUGCUGCUGCUCCUCGCUCAGGGCCCCCCUCCAGGCUCUCCACAGCCCCGGUGCCUGCAGAAGCGCUCCGCGCCCCCAGCUGUCACCACCACCGCCUCCCAGGCCUCAGACGCCAUGCAGGCCAUCAAGUGUGUGGUGGUGGGAGAUGGAGCCGUGGGCAAGACCUGCCUUCUCAUCAGCUACACCACCAACGCCUUCCCGGGAGAGUACAUCCCCACUGUGUUUGACAACUAUUCAGCCAAUGUGAUGGUGGACAGCAAGCCCGUGAACCUGGGGCUGUGGGACACGGCGGGGCAGGAGGACUACGACCGCCUUCGGCCGCUCUCCUACCCGCAGACGGACGUCUUCCUCAUCUGCUUCUCUCUUGUCAGCCCAGCCUCCUAUGAGAAUGUACGAGCCAAGUGGUUCCCCGAGGUGCGGCAUCAUUGCCCCAGCACGCCCAUCAUCCUGGUGGGCACCAAGCUGGACCUGCGGGAUGACAAGGACACCAUCGAGAAGCUGAAGGAGAAGAAGCUCGCGCCUAUUACCUACCCACAGGGCCUGGCGCUGGCCAAGGAGAUCGGUACGGGGCUUGGAGAAGGGAGCUGGGGGCAGGGGAGCCCCGACUCAGCCUCAUGGUGGUUGCCCACCCAGGCUCCAGGGCCAGGCUGUGCUGUUCCAACCCUGGCUGUGCCCUGGACUAGCUGUGUGACCCUGGAUAAGUCACUUAGCUUCUCUGUGCUGAUGUUUCCUUGUCAGUGAAACACAGCAAUCGUAGGAGUUCCGGGCGGUUGGGAGAAUUAAGAAUUCAUACCCACGAAGCUCCUAGAGCAGCAGCGGACAUAGAAAGUGCUCUGUGUUAGUUAUUAUCAUCCAUAAGUAGAUUUUGAAAUGUGUGUUUUGACAGAAGCAAGGAUAGAGUGGAGUGGACUGUGUUUGCUCAGAGAAAGAGCAGCCCACUUAAGCUUGGGUCUUCUGGGAAGGCUUCCUGGAGGAGGCACUUCUAUUUUGGUUUGAUGGGUGACGCCGCGCCAUCUGCCUCCUUCUCGCUCCCCAUUCCCCAACCCCCUGGCUUCUCAGCCCAUCUCCUCUUUGCCUCCCUAUCACUGGGCCAGAGAAGUAAAGUGACUUCUCAGGAUCACACAACUCGUAGGUGGCAGAACCAGGAUUUGAACACGCUAGCUUGGGGGCCUCCUCUUGGUGGUUCAGGACUUCCUGUACCAGGGGGGUGGUGACUGAUGAAUCUGGCCUCUUACGAGGUGUCCAGGCCUGCUGUCCCUGGUCGGGCCUGACCUGCCUGCAGCCUGGGGAUGGGGCACCUGGCCAGGAGCCUGGGACCCCCCAGCUGGGUUUGGCCAGUGUGAGCAGCGAUCCAGCUGCCCAGGGCUCAGCCCUGCCCCCCACCCCUGCCUUGGCCCUACCGCCCUUCCUUCCGCAGGAACUGGGAGGGCCCUGGGGACUCACAUCUCUUCACAGGAAGAGAAACCGCAGCCGCCACCUCUCUCUCUUCGCAUGACUACAGGACCGUCCUUGUGACACAGCCCCUCUCUCCCAGGGGCCUCUGCUGCUGCUUAAACCCUGGGCCCUCUGCCCAUCCAGGGGGCUCUGGCUCCCAGGCUCUCUGGUCUUUGCUCACAGAUAUUGGGGAUUGCACCUCUGCCUUCUUCCUUUUUUUUUGCUUUUUUGGGGGGCCACACCCACAGUAUAUGGAAAUACCCAGUUUAGGGGUCAAAUCGGAGCUGCAGCUGCUGGCCUGCACCACAGGCACAGCAACAUGAGAUCUGAGCCACAUCUGUAACCUGACUCACAGCAACACCGGAUCCCUGACCCACUGAGUGAGGCCAGGGAUCAAACCCGUAUCCUCAUGGAUAUAGUCAGAUUCGUUUCUGCUGAGACCCAACAGGAACUCCACCCUGCCUUCUUUCUGACCAGCUUGCCCCACUCCCAAGCUCCUUCCACCCAAAACUGCCUCUGCAGCCUGCCUCUGACCCCGUCCUUUUUAAACAAGGGCUUUGGGAUAAGAUGGGGCCCGGAAGCCUGGAUUGGGGCGGCUUGGCACUGACUGUGUGACCUUGGGCCAGUGGCUCCCCCUCUCUGGAACUCAGUUUGCCCAUCAAGCCAGCCUACAUGCUCCCCAAAGGUCCUUUCUCCUCCAUGAGGCAAUGACCUGGGGGUCCUUCCCUGGCUUCUAGCCAGUCCUUCCUGGGGCCAAUCCCAGGUGGGGGUGUGGCAGGCACCAUGAGCAAUGACUUUGAACUUGCUUCGGAUCAGCCCAGACCAAGGGGUAGACCUGGGGAAGCUGCAGACUGAGGAGGAGGUCACAGCUGCCUCUGUCCACCAGCCCAGGAUGACGAAUUGUGGGGCAGCUCUGAUCCUUGCUGACAUGGAUUGAACACUUCCUCGGUGCUGGGCCGGUGCAUUGUCCCCUUCUGUUGUCAUAGCAACCAUGAAGGACGGCCUCUCAUCAUCCCAUUUUACAGAGGAGGAAACCGAGGCUCAGGGAGAAGAAGCCAUUGGCUCAAGGCCACCCAGCUGGGAUGUGGCAGAGCCUAGACUCGAACCUGGGCUACCUGGUUCCUUCAGUCAUGUUCAGGGUCAUCUGGUCUGUGGGAGACUAGGGCAUUGAAAGGGGAAGCGGCCAAGGUCCUGGAGUGGCCAGGCCCCCAGUCAGCACCCUUCUGGGCACCACUGAGCCAAGGAGCAUGUGUGUGGCAGGUGCCCAGGAGGACGCAGUCGGUGGGGAUGGAAGGAACAAGUGGCCACAUGCCCUGUGACCCCCUUCUGGGCACAGAGGGUUAGGGUGACAAGACUCCCAGACCCAACUCAGCAUGCUCCAUCUCUGCCAGGUGCCAGGCCAGCUUGUGCUCCUGGGUGGGACAAUGCUCCCAUGUGCCCCAUCCAGCACGUGACUUUGGGUUUUUUGUCUUUUUAGGGCCGCACCCAUGGCCUAUGGAGGUUCCCAGGCUAGGGCUCGAAUCGGAGCUGUAGCUCAAGGCCUAUACCACAACCACAGCAACUCGGGAUCUGAGACUCGUCUGUGACCUACACCAUGACUCAUGGCAAUACUGGAUCCUUAGCGAGGCCAGGGAUCGAACCCAAGUCCUCAUGGAUACUAGUCAGGUUCAUUUCCCCUGAGCCACAAUGGGAACUUCCCAGUGUGUGACUUUGGACAAGCGACAUCCUCUCUGAUCCUCAUCCCUGCCCCACCAUUUCUUUCUUCCAGCCCUGGGCAUCAGUUGGCUUUCCCAUCCCUGGGCUGCCCUCCUGAGGUCCUGGCUUCCCCCCGCGGCUGUGUGUCUCUGGACCCAGGGUCCCCUCUCUGGGCCUGUGUCCUUACCUGGGAAGCCAGGAAUCUCAAUGUUUCUCCGCAGGGUGGUCAGAAGCGCCCAGCUGGGUGCCGGGUGGGGAGCAGGUGCCAGUCAGUGUCCAUCUGCGUCCCUCCCUCCGGAAAAGCGGGCUCCAGGGAAGAGGCAAAGUUGUCCCUUUCAGCCCCUCUCCUUCCCCCUGUUCCUGAAAUUGGUCCCCAGGCCUCUCCCAGGGGUGGGGGGGGGGGUGAGGGGUUCAGCUGCUCCCUUCAGGGAAACUGCUUGGGUUGUAGUGGACACAGAUCUCACACAGGCUCCUUCCAGAAGGUCAUGGAACACUGCCCCUGCUAGUGGGGCUCAGCCUGCCUUCCUCACCAUCUGUGCCCUGGGAUCCAGCCCCGAGUGGUCACAAGGCCCCCAGUGGCACCUGGAGGCGUGGGGAGGGGAAUGUCUAGCAUGUGACUGGACAAGCAACUUUUCUGAGCUUCAGUUUCCUCCUCCAUAAAAUGGGAUGAAGCUAAGGAUGACAUUUGGAAAGUCCUGGUGAGCAGACUGGGGCUCCUAGGCCUUCCUGGGGGAAGCGUGGAGGCCGGUGUGUGGUCAUUUUCUAGAAGAAAGGGAGGCACCGAGGGAUUUGGUUGCUGUCGCUUGAGCCCCCUUUGCCUAGGGAAGGUAUCCACAUUCCUCCUGCCUUCUGCCAACGAAGGGCUUAUGUGUCCAAGAAAGCCACAAACUGCCCUCGUGAGUCUUAACCUCUCCGUCUGAAUUCAAGCUCCAUCUUUCAGACGCGAGGAGGCCCAGACACAGAGCAGGAAGUGGCCUGCUUUGAGCGACACAGCCCAGGUGGCCCCAGCCUGGUGCAGCUGUGUGGCGUGGGCGGGGGUUUUGCCAGCCCUGACCUAGGCCUCUACCCUCUUGCUGUCCUGACCCAGACUCGGUGAAAUACCUGGAGUGCUCGGCCCUUACCCAGCGAGGCCUGAAAACCGUCUUUGACGAAGCGAUCCGGGCCGUCCUGUGCCCCCAGCCCACGCGGCCGCAGAAACGCCCCUGCAGCAUCCUCUAGGGGACGAGCCCAGCCCUUGCAGCCAGAUGGUUCUGACCCUCCAGGACCCCCGAUGGCACCCUGGCUGUCCCCUCCUUGUGGCGUUUCCCAGCAAGAUGGCUGCUGAGCUUGGUCUUCUCCGUGCUAGAGGCCCCCACCCCCGGGGCCCAAGGGGUGUGAAUCUGUAGGCGCUGCAUCCCCCUCCCCUUGUGCUCCUAUCUGGAACCAGAGGGGAACCCUAGGACCUGAUAAGCCGCCCCUGCGUUGCUGUGGUCAGAUGCCACACAUGGCAUUAUCUGCCUGUUUACCCCUCUGGAAACUUCGGGCCAGAUGGUCGCCGAUCACCACUCGUCCACCUUCAGGGACGGGUCUCUCGGUCGACUCUACUGUUGAUGAUUCUACUUAUCUGAGCGUUCUCCUCCUGAGCUGAAUUAAGGGUCUCAGAACCUUUACUCCUCUGGUCUUAGUCCUCCUUGGGGGGACAAUAUAAAAUAUUUGUUUUCUAAACCUCUAUGGACACCUACCCAGCCAAUUGAAAAGCUGGGUCCAGCUGACUCCUGCCAUCUCUUGUCUUUCUGCUCCACUCACAGGAUCCUGAGCUGCAUUUACCUGUGAGGGUCUUAAAACUUUCAGCCCUUGCCAGUCAGGACUAUGCCAUUGCCCACAGAAAUCCAAUUCAACCUGCUUAAACAGAAAAUAAAUUUAUUAAUUCAAGUCUGAAAA